ACUAAUUCAUCCGGAGUCCGAUUUUGACGUUCUUUAGCUCGUUUUGAAGCUCUUGACAUCCCCCAUCCCACAAAAAUACCACCAACAUCAUUUGACUCCAUCAUAUUUUCUGAAAUUUGGCAAGUUUGCCUAGGGCUUCCACCAUAUCAUCCGCAUUACCACCACCGACUUCCGCAACCUAACCCAUUUUGUUCCCCAUAGCAUUUGAGGUUGUUUGAGUAGUGAAUUGAGUCUCCUAAGGUGUUUCGGCUACUUAGGGACGGUUGCUUCUUCAUCAACCACCACCACCACCACUUCCACAUAACCUUCCCACCAUACACUUCCGACAACCCAACUUAACCCAAUUGUUGUUUGAGCUUGUUCGAGUUGUGGCUUGUGUCUCCUAAGGUGUUUCGGCUACUUAGGGACGGCAACUUCAACUCCGACUUGUGUAUAACCCAUCAUUCCACUUCCGCAUUUCCUAGUGCAACACCACCACCGCUUUCCGCUACCACCAUUUGACAUUUGUCACUUGAGAUUUUGAGUUUGCGGUUUUUCCGUUUCCUAAGGUGUUUCGGCUACUUAGGGACGAGUCUCCAUCAUCUUGGUAUCUACACCAAGAACAUCGCCACUCAUCAUCACAAAGGACGGUAACCUCGACGACACCAUUGUAUAUUCCCUUGCAAUUGCAUUAUUAACCCCUAGCCCAUUUUGCGUUACUUGCCUAUCGAGACUAGCCAUUUGAGUAUUGCGGCAACGUGACUUGUGCACAUUAGUGGUCUACACCAUCCAUUGCAUACAUACCAUAUCAUCUUGGUAUCAUAUCAUCCAUUGUGCCUCAAGUUUGUUCCCGCAUAUACACAAUUGCUAUCUUGGUUUGUGCAUUGUGCAAAAGUGGCCAUAGAAAAAAAAGAGAAAACGCUUUUAAGCAAAAAGAGAGCAAAGAGCUCGUGAGCAAGUGCCAUAGCAUCAUACCCCCAUUGCAAAUAAGAGCCAUACCAAAAUCUACAUCAUAUGAUAUCAUGCUUGAGAGAAGCACUGGGAACCAUACAUACAUAGCAUACUUGGGAUAGAAGUUUAUCCAUUUCGCAUCUAUAGGUUGUGCACAAGUGUCGUAUCCGCCUAUUGAGCAAUCGCGCUAGCGUCUCUCUUGAGUUGUGCAAUACGAGCAUUUUCCGUGGACUCCACAUUUUGUGCUCAUUCCUUGGUUGCACGACCCCAUUUAUCUAUCCGUGUGUGUGUUUACGUGUACCAUUUGCUAUUGGUCUACUUGUUUCACUUGCGAAUUUGUGAAUCUCUUUCAACAUUAUUGACUCUUGCUAACAUUUUGCAUUAAAUUUUUGUGCCACUAUCCUCACCGAGCUCCACCAUAAGCUUUACUUGAUAGGUGUGAGUGAACAAGUCCGGUACCAAUUCCACUAUUCUUUCAUCUCACAUUGAGUGACACGGGAUACAUCCUCAAUGUUGGGAAAAGGUAACUUGGUAUUGUUUAUCUCAUUUCCUACUCACCUCUACUCGAGUCUUGUGAUGGAUAGGCAAGGCAUUUCACUUUCGGUCUACAACAACAAUGACGAGUUCGAUGCCAUGAACAACAACUACGACACCAAGAUGGACAAGCGCAUGGAGGAGAUCAAGGCCCUCAUCAAGUCCUACAAGCGAUCUUCCUCAUCUUCGAGAAGACGCUCAAGAGCACAUCCUUCCGAGCUACCACCUCCGGCAAGAUCACAUCGGCAUCGACACCAUCACCAACAAGAACGUGAAGGUUCAGAGCUCAACACCAACAACCGCUCAACGACUUCACCAUCUCCCUUGGCAUCUUCGCCAAGCGACUUCAAGGCAUCUUCGCUGACGGACAUAUUGCAUCUUCGCCAACAAGAACCUCAAGACUACACUCAAGAGAAGCUACCCAAGCUCAAGUCCGCGACUUCCACGAGCUACUACGACCUUGACACCGACCACAAGAUUCCUUUCUAUGGGACUCAAGAACCCGAGGAGUACCUCGAGUGGGAGCGUUUGAUGGACGACUACCUCAAGCUACAUCAAGUUCCUCCCGAAGAUCAAGUGAAGUGCGCCACAAGAAACUUCCAUGACUACGCAUUGGCAUGGUGGCUUAACACACCUUCGGAGUACUAUGACAUGAGUUGGCACAAGACGAAGAAAGCUUUGCGGUGAGAGUUUGUGCCUCCAACCUACACGGAACAACUUCUAGGAGAACACCACCCAAGGAUCCAAGUCCAUCGACAAGUACUUCAAAGAGAUGAUGAUUGCCUUGCGACGAGCCGGCGUGGACGACCCCAUUUCGAUGAAGUUCCACUUCAUGAUGGGAUUGCACAAUGACAUCUCCAAGACCAUCUUCCUCGAGAACUACAAGUCCAUCGACGACUACUACAUUGGUGCUCUCAAGGCGGAACAAGAACUCAUGAAGGCCAAGGCUUCUCCACUCCAAGCAAACUUCGCGGCGACCAAGCUCUAUGACAAGCAUGAGGCUAGUACCACCAUGAUGUCCAAGGCCGACAAGCUCCAAGACGAUGCUCCCAAGUGUGACUUCACCGCCAUCCCUCUUUGUGGCAUUGAUGAUGCCGAGUCUACUUCGACUCUUUUUCAAGACGGCGCGGCGACGAGUUCGACUACGGAGACCUUCAAGGACCAAGCUUUGGAGGCGAGUGACAAGGUGAAGAGCAAGGAUGAUGCUUCCAUCUUAGGAGGCAAGAGUGAUGAUGUGCCAUCUUCGGCCUUCAUCCACGACGAGAGUGAUGUUGAGCCAUCUUCGGCCUUCAUCCACGACGAGAGUGAUGAUGGGCCAUCUUCGGCCUUCAUCCACGGCGACCACGACGAGAUGGUUGAGCAUGGGACUUUCCCUUCGACCACGGCGAUGUAUGAUGACUUGAGUGACUUGUGCCACCAUAUUGAGAGUGAGAGUGACUUCACCACUAGCCCCAUAUAUGAUGAGUUGCCACAAUUCCCAUGUGAGGAGAGCCACAACCCCCACCACUUGAGUGAGAUGAGUGACUCCACCAUACGUGAGUUUGAGUGCAUCUAUUUUGAGGGAGUGAGUGAACCACCACAUAGAGAGAGUGAGAUAGUUGAUAGGUCUCGUGAGGCCAUUUGCAUUUCUAACAACUUGACCUCUACCUCUAUUGUGUCUUCUCGUUUGGUGCUAGGUCCCAUUUAUGAUGACGCGCCGAUCCUCGACGACUUCGUCCUCCCUUUGGACAAGACAAUGGCCAUGGUGGAUUAUGAUGCACCGCCCACAUGGUUCCAUCAAGAUGAUGAUGAUGACCACCAUUUGGUCUUUCCCACCUCACCUACACCACUUGAGUGGAAUGACAAAGGUAACAUAUGUGAAGGUGAUGCUCUAGUCCCACUAGUGGACAUUCUUGACAUUGAUUGCUUGCAUGAUGUUGAUCCACCUAUUGCCAUGCUUCAUGCAAGUAUGAUUUCCCCAUGCGAUGAUUUGCCCAUUUAUGAUGAGUAUGAUGAUUCUAUUGUGGAUUCUAUUAGUUGUGAUGCCAUGUUACAUAGGAUUUCUUGUGACAAUUCUUUAGGUCACAUCAUGUUUGAUAAUCCGCUUGACUUGUCAUAUGCUAUGCAUGAGAUCAACCAUAUGUCUUAUUUGGAAUCUCUUCAUAGUGACUAUGCAUAUGCCAUUAAAAUAAACCCAAUUUGCACAUAUGGGAUAGAUGACAAGCCCAUGGUUAUUGGCAUUUGUUUUUCUUGUGAUGAUAUUGAUAUGCUCCCUUUGCAUCAUUUAUCUCAUAUGCCAUGCCAUGACCACCUAGCUUCGGAUAUGCAUUGUUUUGGAUGUUGUCCAUUUUCUCCAUGUGAUGUUUCCGAUAUUGCUCAUGAGGAGGCCCCCAUAGUUUCCUCAUACAUUUUAGGAGAUUUUGAUCCAUCCCAUCCAUUGCAUGAUCCCAAUACGUGUGUGCACCAUAUGCUCCCCAUGAAUAAACAUGCUUUUGAUGUGCCUUAUACUUGUUUGCUCAAUUUGUGUCCCCAUCGUGUCAUACAUAAUAACUAUUCUUUCAUGAUGGAUGACAUGUUCUUAUACCAUGCAUCAAAUUUCUUUGAGCGAUGCUUAUCUUGUGCUAACUCACACGUGCACAUACACAUCAUGAUGGAUGAUGUGUACAUUUACCACACACACAAUUUCUUUCGUUUGUGUCUCUUUUGUGUAGGUACCCAUGCAUACUUGUCAACUUCGCAAUCCCACGAGUUGACAAAACGAGCUCUUGAGAGCAAUGACGAUUUGGGAUACCGUGGACUAUCCUUACCACCGUUCCCUUAGCGCAAGGACUACGCGCAACUCCUCUACUUGGCUCUCACACGGCUAUGGGCCAUUUACCACUUCUCACAUUAUGCUCAUUUUACCGUGUUCACUUUGCAUGCUAUGCUUGCUUCUAUGCCUUUGCCAUGCAAUUGUGACCCUUGUUUUCAUCUACCCAUGAUUCUCCAUUAUGAUAUUCCUAUGUGUAUUUGCAUGCUUGGUGGAGAUCCUUGUUGCUUUUGCCAUGUUUAUCAUGUGCCCCAUUCUAUUGAUGCUUGUUGUGUUGGGAGAGUCAUGAUGACCCAUUGCUAUUCACAUAUGGCCUCUCGCCAAUACAUUCAUGAUAUUGUACUCAUAUCUUGCUUUCAUGCUUGUGCUAUGACUUGUGAAUUAUUCAUACCCACUAUUUGCACCAAUGACAUGUUUACCAUGAUUCCUCCUAGUAUGUUGCAUCUUCGCACUACUAGCUUGCUUGAUUUGAUAGCUAUGAAUGCUCGCUAUAUUGCAUCACCCAUGUUCCACUACUUGCUUUCUUGGGUUAAUGACAUAUAUGCUCAUGCCUCACACAUGUUGAACAAUUGCUCUUUCCAUUGUGUUGAGUGCCACAAUAUCUUCACUACACCCUAUGCACGUUAUGCUUGGAUUGUCUUGCACUUGCCCCGUGUGUUUAGACAUUUCACUAUAUUUGGUGUUGUGAAUGACUCUUAUGCCUACCAUAGACCGUUCAUUGAGCACUUUAUGCAUGCUUGCUAUGACCUUGAGGUAGAUGCUUCUUCACUUAUCACAUAUAUUUGCAUCUUGAUCUCACAUUUGCAUGCUUGUUCCCAUGAUGUACUUGAUUGUGCUCAAUUUAUAUGCUCAAAUGCCAUGCCACACUUCUUUGUCAAACCAUAUGCUAUGCUUGAUGACAACACUUGUUGGGUGAAUCACCUCUUGAAUGCUUGGUUUUGCUCUUACGACAACCACAUUUGUUUUUCCAAGAGCUAUCUUUGCUACUUUUGAAGGAAUUACAAGACGGCGCGACAUUGGAGAGUGCCCAUUUGGAACUACAAGAUGACGAAUGCUUGGUGAUCGUCCACUUCUACACGACGACAUCAUCUCUUUCCCAUGGUGAUUUGGAUUUCGUUCCGAGGUCGGAUCUUUCCCAAGGGGGAGGGGAUGAUGCGGAGCAUCCUACGGACAUCACCAUGUCAAGAGCCCAUUUGGCAAGUGACACGUGCGACAUCUACUUCACACACACCAAGGUGAAUAAUCUCCUUUACACGUGCUCACUUGACCCCUUCGAGGAUGGCAUACUACUUGACACUUCUCCCGUGUGCAUGCAUAGGUAUUGUCGGAACUUCACGGACGACGAGGAGGAGUGCAAGCGCCAAGGAACGACUACACCAUCUGCGAGGGAAGCGUGGAAGAGAAGACGGAAGAAAGGAGAAGAAGACGGAGCGGCUGCAGGAGCCAGGCCGGACAUCCGGACCACCGUCCGGAUCAUCCGGGCUCGGCCGGAUCAUCCGGGUCCCCCUUCGGAUCAUCCGGACAAUUUGGCCCGAAGACAACAGAAGCUGCCCGACGAAGCCGGAUCAUCCGGACGGUCGCCCGGAUCAUCCGGACCCCCGACACCCGGAUCAUCCGGGCCACCAUCUGGAUCAUCCGGACCCCGCCUGCGUGCGUGACUUGGGCCGAAGCCCGUGUACCCCUUUGCCCCUCACAUACCCCUUCGCCCCUUGGGCUAUAAAUAGACCUCCUCCACCUCCUUUCUAGGGUUAGCAAAGUGAUAGCUCAUUCCUAGGUGAGCUUUGCUCCUACUUAUCUCUACUGUUGAGAGAGAGAGACCACUACUCCAUUGGAGGCCAAGACCUCCAUCUAGGAGAAUAUCCCGCGGGAUAUCAUCAAGACCCCCUUGUGGGAAGAUCCAUCUAGGAUAUCAUCAAGACCUCCUCUUGGAGAUGAACCUUACCUUGUAUCUUUCCCUUUGUUGUUCAUAUACCUUGUGAUCUUGUGUGUUUGAUUGUCUAGUGGAUGUGUGAUUUGGACUUUUUCUUGAGUGUUUCCCCUUGUGAUUUCUUCCCGUUCUUCCCCGUGUUCAUCGUGUUCUUCGAGGGAUCCCACUCCAAACGUGAAAGAUCGUCGCUAUAGGGUUCCACCCUACAUCAUAUGGUAUCAUGAGCCACGUUGAUCACGUUUUUGGAGUCCCUCCCACCGUUUUCUAGCCUUCUUUUGCUUGAUUUCGUCCUAAAUCCGAAAAUCCCCACCAAAAAUAGCCCCCAAAAUUUUUUGUGAUUUGUUGGUUUGAUGAUGUUUUGUUGAUUUUGAUCCGUGGAUUUGCUUGGUUUCAAGUGGAUCUAGCAUCUCCCCAAGUUUCCCCAUCUUCCAUCCACGAAAUCCAUCAAAUUUUGCCCCAAAAAUCAUGCAUUUCCGCCCAAAAAAUUCAUCCCCACGAGCAAAUCCCGAGCGGAUUGACUUGCCCGGAUCAUCCGGACAUUCUCCCGGAUCAUCCGGACCUCGCCCGGAUCAGCUGGACGCCCCCCCGGACGUCCGGAUAAAUCGCGCACCCAGAAAACAGAACCAGCGCUGACGAACCCGGAUCAUCCGGAUUUCCUCCCGGAUCAUCCGGACCUAGCCCGGAUCAUCCGGACCUCCUCCCGGAUCAUCCGGACCUAGCCCGGAUCAUCCGGACCUCCUCCCGGAUCAUUCGGUUAACCCUGAAACUGACACGGCUGAAAUCUUAUUUCGGUCAUAACUAAUUCAUCCGGAGUCCGAUUUUGACGUUCUUUAGCUCGUUUUGAAGCUCUUGACAUCCCCCAUCCCACAAAAAUACCACCAACAUCAUUUGACUCUAUCAUAUUUUCUGAAAUUUGGCAAGUUUGCCUAGGGCUUCCACCAUAUCAUCCGCAUUACCACCACCGACUUCCGCAACCUAACCCAUUUUGUUCCCCAUAGCGUUUGAGGUUGUUUGAGUAGUGACUUGAGUCUCCUAAGGUGUUUCGGCUACUUAGGGACGGUUGCUUCUUCAUCAACCACCACCACCACCACUUCCACAUAACCUUCCCACCAUACACUUCCGACAACCCAACUUAACCCAAUUGUUGUUUGAGCUUGUUCGAGUUGUGG
rnacentral:lncRNA from 1 species